rnacentral:rRNA from 1 species
AUGACCACAAGCAGCUCGUGUGCCAUCUGCGGAAAUACGGACUCUUGGAAGCAUAGCUUGAUUGAGUGUACUGCUGCCCGGUGUGUUUGGUCAUUGGUGGAUCAGGAGCUUAUUGAUGAUUUGCGAAGUAACACUGAAAAUGAUGCAAAGAAAUGGUUAUUUACUAUGAUCGAACAACUACCACACGACAAGUUCACCAAGGUAGCAGUUACCCUAUGGGCAAUAUGGUGGGCGAGGCGGAAGUCCCGUAUGAACAUCCCAGUUACUGCUGCACCAAGGAAGUGGAUUCCGGCCACUGGUGAUUAUGCUAAAAUCAAUGUUGACGCUGCUGUCUUCCGUGGAGUUGGUGCCGCUGCUGCAGUUUGCAGGAACAAUAACGGACAAUACCUGGGGUCCUCGGUGCUUGUCACUAGAGGGCUGGUUGAUCCGCCUACUUUGGAAGCUAUGGCAUGCAGAGAAGGAUUAUCGCUAGCGGAAGACCUGGGGCUGCAGAAACUAGUGAUUGCGUCUGACUGUCAAGAGGUGGUGAAGCAUAUCAAAGAAAAGUCAGGUGAAAACUAUGGUGCAGUUGUAAAAGAGAUUAUUUCUUGGCAAUCUUCUUUUAAUUCUUGCUGUUUUAAGUUUGAAUUUAGAGCCUCGGAUUUCGAUCCUCAUAAACUAGCUAGGCAUGCUGUAAAGUUAGAUCAUGGCCGCCACAUUUGGUUGGGGCAACCACAUGAUACUUCUGUAAUACCGGUAGCAAUACCAACUUUUGAAUAA